rnacentral:lncRNA from 10 species
CACCCACCCUGCCAUAAGCCAUUUUCAGUCUCAAGAUCAAUUCUUUUUCGUGAGAAUGAGCAUACCUCUUUCAGCAGGAUAACCACAGGUAAACCUCCCCCUGCACCCCCUGCUGCCAUCCUACGCGCUUGGAAUAUGAACAAAGGUGAACUGUCUGGCUGAUAAAGAAUUCUGCUUGUUUUCAUUUGUAUCUUUGCCCAGGGUCGUGGCAAAUAUUGUUUCAUGGGUUUCCAGCUUUGUUUUUGGAGCUCAAAGGAUAAAGUGCUCCCACAAGAAAGAAUAAAGAGAGAGGAAAGAAGGUAAC